rnacentral:rRNA from 1 species
UACAGAGGUCCCAAGCGCUGUUCGGAUUCACUGGGCGUAAAGGGUGCGUAGGCGGGUCUUUAAGUCAGAGGUGAAAUCCUGGAGCUCAACUCCAGAACUGCCUUUGAUACUGAAGAUCUUGAGUUCGGGAGAGGUGAGUGGAACUGCGAGUGUAGAGGUGAAAUUCGUAGAUAUUCGCAAGAACACCAGUGGCGAAGGCGGCUCACUGGCCCGAUACCUGACGCUGAGACGCGAAAGCGUGGGAGCAAC